AUACCAUAGUGUGGACAUUCCCUCUGCAGGUCUUUAUAUCUUUCCCAUGCGUCAUAGAGUGAUUCACCUUCCUUUUGUCUAAACAUGUUGAGCUUAAGUCUCAGUCU